rnacentral:ncRNA from 1 species
UCGAAAAAGGCAAACCAGUCGUGAGGUUGGGACGCAAAGCCAUGGGCCUCUGUUUCAGAGGUUGCCAGGUUUCCGA